AUUUCUACCUCUUCAUUUUCACACCAGAAGCAAAGACAAGCAGCCCCAAUUUUCCUCAACCAACGAUGCUGUCCCCUUCGAGUUUUCCUGAAAUUCUGUCCUUGAUUUUGGCAAAGCUCGAUGAAAACUCACCUAGUACGGUUAAAGAUGUGUCAAAAUGGCAUUUCUUCAUACAAAGUUUCGACAAGAGACCUCAAAAUGCUCGUCCAGCUCAACAUCUUAGUUAGCUGUUUCAGAAAGGUAAUAGCUGAUCUUGUUCAAAAUAUGCACAAAGGAAAAUGAUGCACCAUUUUAUGGAACCGUAUAAAGGAUUAACAUUUGGCGAGGAGCUGAGAGUUUGUUAAUUUCAUUCGAAGGAUGUAUUCAAGGUGGAAUGUAUUCUAGCCGUAGAACUUUUUAUUUUUGUUCUGUUAUAUGUGUUUUUCAUGUGUAUGCACAGUAACUAUAUGUUGUGACUAUGAAUUAUAAAAAUUUAUCAUAUCAUUGAUUGAGAUAUCUUUAGCUCUCUUUUAUUUUAAAUGAAUUU